CUUCUCCACUAGGCAGUUAGUUCCAAAGUACAUUUGGAAUCUGACAGUUGAGCAUUCUAAAAGUCAGGCUUAAUUUUGCUUAGAAAUCCUGUCAGCAGCCCCCAGCAGCUGCUCUCCUGCCAGCCUGGGAAGUGGAAGAGAGGACCCCACUGCAGCUUCCCCACUCCCCCAGGCCAGGGGAGGGUGAUGAACCCUAAGAAGCAGAGGUGAAGCUAGAGGCUGCCCUGAGGCUGAAGGUAAAUGCAGCUUGUCUCCAGGCUGAGGGAAGCUAAGUGACUUGCCUUAUGUCACACUGCAAAUGAAUGAACCACACUGCAAAGCUGCGAACAGAACCCAAGUUACCUCACUCCAGAGGUGAAUAUUCAGGACUGCUUGCCACACCACCACAUACCGGGUUUAGGUCAUAUAGGAAGGUUGAUACAGACGAUUUCAAGACUCUAUCCACUACAUCACACACCAAAUUCUCCAGACGGGUCAACAAGUCUU